rnacentral:rRNA from 1 species
GGAUUAGAUACCCUGGUAGUCCACGCUGUAAACGAUGGGUACUAGACUUGGUGGGACUUGACCCCUGCCGAGUCGGAGCUAACGCAAUAAGUACCCCGCCUGGGAAGUACGGUCGCAAGACUAAAACUCAAAGGAAUUGACGGGGGCCCGCACAAGCGGUGGAUCAUGUGGUUUAAUUCGAAGCAACGCGAAAAACCUUACCUAGGUUUGACAUCUCCUGACAACUACAGAGAUGUAGCUUUCGUAGCAAUACGACAGGAAGACAGGUGCUGCAUGGCUGUCGUCAGCUCGUGCCG